UAAUUUCAAGAGGUAGUUUAGUUAAAAUAUUAGUUUUGGAGAUUAUUGACAAGAAGUUCUUUCUCUUG
rnacentral:tRNA from 1 species